rnacentral:lncRNA from 10 species
AUGUGUCCAGAAAGGAGUCCCAGAGAAAAUAACAUCUGAUCUGAGAAAAGAGAGAAACAAGGAGCAGAAGUUAGGGGUACUAACUGGAAGAAAGGAAUGCGAAUGAUUACCAAUCCUGCUGCAAGUGCUUAAAGAAGAUGGAAUCAGAGUGUGGGAACCAGGCUGAACUACAUGACUGACAGUAGAUGACCGCCACUGCCACGGGAUCCACAGGGUCCACAAAGACUGGUAAAAGGUUUUCCAAAAUUGAACAAAGAAAGGCUACUGAAUCUGCAGCCCAGUUGGAGGCAGCAGUCACCAAUCACCCCCCUCAAGAUCUCAAAGUCCAUCAGCCAUUCACCACACCCUUUCCUGAUCCUUUUUUGUACACAGAAAGACUCCUUACCAGGGACAGAACACAUAAUUGGACCUGGCCACAAAGCUGUUUCUACCAAUUUUCCAGUCAGCCCUGAAGUACUAAUAACAAUCUUGACACUCUUUAUUCAUUAUUGUGGAUAUCUUUAAAAUGUGUAUUUAAUAAU